AGCCGUCGCCCUCGGUCCUCGGUGUCUCAGUGCCGCUGCGGCCCCAACACGGUCGCUGCUCGGGGAUCUGCAGCCACCGGGACUCAUCCAACACUCAGACUGGUCCCUCGGGUUCAGGAGGAGAAUCGAACCACCGAGCGUUCACAUCGUCGUCAUCCUGCAGCGACGUCAGUCGAGGUGCAACAGGCCGAAAACAAGUUUAUAUUCCCGAGAAGAUCCGCGUCGUCUCCCGAAGCGGCUGCUGCGAUCCGCCCGAGAAAUUUGACCCCGUGAAGGUGCGAGGCCCCCGGUUUAUAUGAUGUGGAUCCGAGCGAGGGACGGAGGCAGCCAAUGGAGGGACGGGCUGAGAAUGGGAGGAGAUUCUGGAGAGCUCCACAACUCGUCCUGCGACGCUGUAACUCUGUGCGUCCUCGGCCCAUAAAGAUAAGAGGAGGACGGCUGGAAUGUGGAGCUGAGAGAUCUAUAAAAUUCUCUGUAAACGAAAACAAGCUUCACUGAUCCACGUUGAUACUCACUUAUACUGAUCACUUCUUCCUCGUGGAAUCGUCUUCUCGUCUCGUCUCUUCUCUUUUUAUCUUAUGUUGACUAUUAUUUUCCAAAGUGUGCAGAACAAUGCAAGUUCAGGUUUUGUAAGAUGUGUCCAUCAAAUAUCUUCUUCAUCAGUAUUUUACUGUCAAAUAUAUAUUAUUAAAAUAUAGUCUGUUCAGCUGCAGUGGCACAUUAUAAUUACUGUAACACUGGAUUUUAAACCAAUGGGAUUGAUUUAAAUGUAUUAAAUGAAAGACGUGAUGUAUUUGACCCUUUGCUUGCAGCUUGUUCUGAAUCUGGACGGUGUAUUAAUUUAGUGUUAUCACGUGUGUGUGUUAUCACGUGUGUGUGUUAUCACAUGUGUGUGUUAUCACAUGUGUGUACUGUAUAUGAGUGUGUGUAGUAACACACCAGUGGAACUGAGCUCAUUGUGUUUGGG
rnacentral:lncRNA from 1 species